CCCUCUCCAACAUACAAUCAAUCAUCGCCAGACUUGCUCUCUCCCCUUUCGCGAUCACCAUGUCGAUCAGACACCGAGCCCGCUGGGAGUCCGACUUUCCCCACAAAUCCACUACGGAUCCU